UACGAAGGGUGCGAGCGUUGUUCGGAAUUAUUGGGCGUAAAGCGCACGUAGGCGGCUGGGUAAGUCUGUCUGUGAAAGCCCGGGGCUCAACCCCGUGGAUUGCAGGGGAUACUGCUCAGCUGGAGACAAGCAGAGGUUGGUAGAAUUCCGGGUGUAGCGGUGGAAUGCGUAGAGAUCCGGAGGAAUACCAGAGGCGAAGGCGGCCAACUGGGCUUGUUCUGACGCUGAGGUGCGAAAGCGUGGGGAGCGA
rnacentral:rRNA from 1 species